GUACCGGGGGGGGGGGGGCCUUUUGUGCGCCCCGCAGCUCCGCGGUUUGGAACCCGGCAUCUGCCCGACGCCGCGGAGCCGGUGGGAGGGGAAGAGAGCCGGGACGCCCAGACUUUGGGGAAUCUUUCUGCGGCCCACAGCACCUAGCUGUGUAUUGAUGGGAAUUUUCGUUCCUGUGAAAUUUCAUUUGGAAAGACUGCAGGUUGGUUUGGAGACUUCACAGAAGAGUUGAUGUCUGAGGGAAGAUCUUCAAAGACAAGUUCCAGGUAGCAGCAGCUUUCCUGUAGUGGAAGAGAGGAGUACUUAACGAGCUAAGUGACACUGCUUUUCAUUUUGCCUCUAAAAGCCCUGUAAUUAAUACUGAAAAUAUCUACUCAGCAGUUUCUCGUAUAUGAAAUAGUGAGAAUAAAAGUUUCUAUUGCAAAUUGGUUUUCCGUACUAAAGAGAUAGAACCUCAUACAAUGUCUGGUACACAAUAGAUGCCCAGUUGGUGUUGCUAACAAAAGGGAUCGGAAACAGAAAGUUAGACACUGAUAUAAGAAGCGCCUUCAUCAGAGUCUGUCAGAUCCAAGUUUUGGGCUGUAACCUGAAAACUGACUCAAAAAUAUGAAGGCAAUUUGCUGAUUGGGUUUAAAUGAUAUUUUAUGCCCUCAUCUGAAAAGAUGGUUGCCCUCAGCUCCUGGAACCACAAACUGCAAAGGAGUCCAGGUGGGUCCGCCAGUCACUAGCUACCUUGAGCUAGUGCCCUGUGCAUGCUCCAGCCUCAGAUUCUUGCAAAGAAAUUGUGAUGCUGCAGCUGUAGCAUUUGGAGAAACUAGCUCCUGAGGAUGUUUAUCUUUGAAAAGCCAUAAUGCUGGAAAACAAUUAGGAAGAACGGAAUAAUAAUUAUGUAUUUCUUAGGUAGAUGAUAUGGUAUAAUGUGCAUGUUGGCUUGGAUCCAUCCCUUGGCUUCUGAUUUUAAAUUUGUGAUGGCAGACUUUUUGUGUGUGCUCGUGGCUGUUAAAGGGGAAUAGUACAUGUACUGUACUAACUUACUGAACACAUACUGUACUUGCGACGAGGGCUAAGCAGUGGAGGUGCAAGUAUGAGAUAAGGCAUGUUGGCUGUUGUUGGAUUUCUCUAGCGCAGUGUCACUGUAUAGGUAACUGGUGUCUGCCAUGAGUUCUGCAUUCUAGGAUAAUAAAUAUAAUAACCUACCCUUUUAAAAACUUUUUGAGACAGGGUUUCUCUGUGUAGCCAUGACUGUCCUAUAACUUUCUUUAUAGAUCAGGCUGGCCUCAAAUUCACAGAGAUCUGCCUGCCUCUGCUUCCCAAGUGCUGGCAUCAAAGGCGUGCGCCAACACCUCCCGACUUAUAACCUGUCUUUUAUCAUUUCCUUAACAAUAUCUUUGUUUAAACAAAGCCACCAUUUAUUGCUGAUACUACUGGACUCAGCUAAUCUCUCCUGUUUUUUGUUUCUCUCCAGAUUUCUGUCUUGUAUGCUCAGAUGGUGCUCAUUCAGAAUGACUCAAUGCAAAUUCUGAAACUUGCAAUUUAGAUGCAGUUCAGUUAGGGAGACACACUAGGCAUGAACUGACUUACUGGUUUGCUUCUCACUUUCUCUUUAUAGAAUACUUAAGUUAUGAACAGGUACAAAUCAUAAACUGUAAACAGCAGUAAAAACUUGACUUCAUGGGACUGGGAUUCUAACUGAGCAUGGCUCUGUGUUUACUCUCCAGGACUGAGGCUAGGAUGUGGGAUUACUUUUUGUUGUUGGAGACAGGGUUUCAUGACAUCCAGGUUGGCCUCAAACUCACUGUGGGGUUAAGGAUGACUUUGAACUCCUGCUUUGAACUCUUUUGAUCCUGCUACCACUCCUUCCCACGUGCUGGGUCACCGGCAUGUGCUACCACAUCCUGCCUCUUGUUCUUGUUAUUUUGUAGUCCACACUGGCUGUAAGCUAGAAGUAGUCCUCUUGCCUCAAUCUCCUGGGUGCUGGAAUUAUUGGUGAGUCACUGUGUAGGACCUAAGGACUAGUUUGGGAUGGAAUUAUUUGUUUUGUGCAGACUGCCAAGAGUGGAAUUCGUAAGUAAUAUGAGAUUAUUUUGAAAAAACAAAAAACAUAUAGAUUGUUUAGUGAAGGCUUAGGCAAAAUAAAACAGUCACAUUUGAGAAACAGUUUGCCUUUUUUUUUCUUUUUUCUGAGACUGUGGUUCACCAUAUAGCCAGGAUGGCUUUGAACUUGCCAUACUUCUUCCUUAGCUUCUGGAAUUACAAGUUUGUGCCAUCAUGCCUGGCUCCAGACAGCUCUUAACCAGUGUAGAAUUUAGCUGGAAGGAUGUCUCACCAUCAGAUAGAUGCCCAUUGAGUUAGACACUGCAUGGAAGUCAAAACAUGGGUUUUCAGCAGGUGGGAUAAGGGACAAACAAAUCUAGACUGAUCUUUUUGAUCUUAUUUAUUUAUUUAAAGAUUUAUUUGUUAUGUAUACAGUGUUCUGCUUGCAUAUAUGUCUGCAGGCCAGAAGAGGGCACCAGAUCUCAUUACGGAUGGUUGUGAGCCACCAUGUGGUUGCUGGGAAUUGAACUCAGGACCUCUGGAAGAGCAGUCAGUGCUCUUAACCUCUGAGACAUCUCUCCAGCCGAUCUUUUUUUAAUGAGGUAUACAUGAUACAUUUGUGAGAAACUCCUAAGGACAACUUUGGGAUUGGAUAUCUUUACCCCCAGUUUCUUCCCAUUGUGUAUUUUUCCAUUUCAAAUGGUCAAAGUAAUGAAAGUCUAGGGAGCACAAUGAGAAUUUCUCUACUAUAGUGAAAAUUAAUGAGGCAGUUCCACUUAAUUUAUCUGCUAGUCCAAAGAGGUUUGUUUUGGGUAAACUUACAGCAAGCAAAGGGAUUGGUUAAGGGAUCCAGGAGAGGUGAGGUGCAGUCCAAAGUGGUUCUCUGGAGAACUCUGACUUGGUCUUCGAUCCAGCAUCCAGGAUCAUGAGGUAGGCAAGAGAGCGAGCACAUUCGCAUCUCAGAUCUUAAGGAGUCCCCGUCUCGGCCAAGUCCUGGGUAGGGGCAGUUACCUAGCAGUUACCUGCUGCCUACUAGGGGCAGUACUGCAGGGGUGAAGCACAGACAACUACCCCUACUCUCCACUGUGUGUAUAAAAAGAUGAGUCAUUUAUAACUUUUGAGAACUUCAUCAGUUGCAUAGUCUUUAUGACUUCCUUUCACUGCCUUUGUACAGAGAACUGUUGCUCCAGAGACACCUGACUUUCCAUGAUGAAAAGAAAAAAGAUUACUUUAUAGCGGGGACAGUAAACUUGUUCGAAUUGUGUAAAACACAGGGUGUGAUGUGUAUUGCUGGGAGACGGUAGUCUAUACCUUUAAUCUCAGCACUCAGGAGUCAGAGGCAGGCCAAUCUCUGUGAGUUUGAGGACAGCCAGGGCUACACAGAAAUUCUGUCUCGAAAAACAAACAAGCAAAAAAAGUUUGAAGGUAAUUUGUUUAAGACUUCUCAGUAAAGUAUUAAUCCUUUUGAUUAAUACCAUAAAUCUUUUCUAAAGAGACGGUGGUAAUUAUACCCUUCUGUUAUGGUUGCUUAUUUUCAGAGGUGCCUUAACAAACUGGAAUGUGUACUAAGGAAUGUGAUGAAGGUAGUACAGACUUACAAGAGAGUGUGAGAUGAGUUUUCGCAGGAAUGCUGUUAUCUUAAAGAAGAAAAGUCUUGGGGAGGGUGGGAACACUGUACAAACUGUUCCUGUAGAGAUAAUGUAGCCUGUUGUAGUAAAAGAGUUACGGAUUUCUUCCGUGUUACUCUGUUUCUAGGGGAAGUAGGUACCACCUGUGCAAGAAAAGGAAAGGAAGCUUUCUUAGAAUUGUCUUGUCUAGAGCUUCUUGUCUUUUCUCCGCUUUUUGUUGAAUUUUGAAGGCCUUUUGUGGAAUUAGAAUGAAAAUUAGUGGGGCUAGUAAUAUAGGAACAUGUGAACCCAUUUUUCUUUCAAGCUUUUAAUCUUGUAGGUUCUACUUUUGAACACAUGUUUGUAGCUAGAGUUUUCCUGCCUGGCCCACAGUCAGGACAAAUCUCUCUCACCUGCCAGUCCCACAGCCGCUCAGACCCAACCAAGUAAACACAGAGACUUACAUUGCUUACAAACUGUAUGGCCGUGGCAGGCUUCUUGCUAACUUUUCUUACAGCUUAAAUUAAUCCAUUUCCAUUAAUCUAUACCUUGCCACAUGGCUCGUGGCUUACCGGCAUCUUCACAUGCUGUUUGUCAUUGUGGCGGCUGGCAGUGUCUCUCUAACUUAGCCUUCCACUUCCCAGCUUUAUUCUCCUCCCUGUCCCGUCUACACUUCCUGCCUAGCCACUGGCCAAUCAGUGAUUUAUUUAUUGACCAAUCAGAGCAACACAUUUGCCAUACAGAACAUCCCACAGCACAUGUUCAAUAGUGUUUUCUUAAAGGUUGCUGGUGUACAGUAAGGAUCUUGAAAUUCUUGAAACUUAUUUAAGUUUUAUAGUAAUAUUUUUUCCACCAGAUGGAAAAAAACCCUGUAAGUAUGUGCUAAUUAAGUUGAAAUUUGAAGAGUAAUUUGAGUUUAUUUUAAUGUUACAGAAUUUACUUAUUUAAAGAGCACCACAUAGAAUUUUAAAAAGUAAAGGCUGUGAACAGUAGUCCUCUGCAAGAGCAGCAAGAGCUUUUGACCACUGAGCCGUCUCUUCCACACUAACUCCAAUUUCUGAUGACCAUAAAAAAGAUUUGAAGCCCUUUUGGCUCCUUCCAUAUUUAUUGUUUUUAGCUAACACAAUAUUCCUAUUCUCUUUUUCCCCAGGUUUGGCUCUUUCCAACUUUUUUACUGUAGGAGGAAGAUAGGAUUUGGCUUUCCUCACUAUCCUCACUUACAUUUUUAAUUGUCUAGUUUUAUUCAUUUGAAAUGUUUUGCUUUAGUGUAUGGAUAAAAUUACUCAGCUUUUAGAUAUUAUCUGUGGCUGAGGUACAAGACAUAUUAGUUUAUAACUGAGUGGGUGUGUGAGUGUGUUUAUUAUGUGAAUGUGCCUGUCUGGAGGCCAUAGGCCAUUGGGAUGCCUGCUCUAUCCACUCUCCACUUUAAUUCUUUGAGACUGACUGAACCUAGAGCUAGGUUAGCAUUCACCAAGCUCCAGGCACCCACUUAUCACCUCCAUCCCCCAGCCCCAGCUGGGGUUACAGGCCUGAGUUACUACACCCAGCUUUUGAAGUGACUUCUGGAGAAUUGAACUGGGGGCUUGUGCAGCAAGUGCUUUUACUCACUGAACCAUCUUUCCCCAGCCCAUGUCAAUUGCAUUACUGGUUUUUGAUAAGUCAUUUCUGGGUAGUGGUUGUAAUCUGCUUUGGCAGUGAUACUUUCUAGGCCUCUGUACAGCUACUUUCUAGGGAUGCUGCUUCUGACUUCAUUCUGAGUUCCUUAUAGCUCUGGGCUCUUAGCUGCCCCUCCACUCUAGUAUUUUCUUGAUUAAGGAUAAAUGGGGAGUCACUUUCGCAAACUGGCUGAAAAUGUCUUCUGCUCUUCAGCUUCAGGGUUGCAGGUGAUGCUGUUCUUUUUUUAUGAUUUAUUUAUUUAUUAUACAGUAUUAUAUAUUAUAUAUUAUACAGUAUUCUUCCUUCAUGCCAGAAGAGUGCACCAGAUCUCAUUCUAGAUGGUUGUGAUCCACCAUGUGGUUGCUGGAAAUUGAACUCAGGACCUCUGGAAGAACAGCCAGUGCCCUUAACCUCUGAGCCAUCUCUGUGUAGCUUUGCGCCUUUCCUGGAACUCACUUGGUAGCCCAGGCUGGCCUCGAACUCACAGAGAUCCGCCUGGCUCUGCCUCCUGAGUGCUGGGAUUAAAGGUGUGCGCCACCACCGCCCUGGCCCGAUGCCAUUCUUACUAUGAUUCUCUGUGCCAUGUUUUCUUCCCUUUUUGAGAGUUUAGUUAGUUAGUUAGUUAGUUAGUUAACCCUUUUUUGUUUUUCUGAGACAGGGUUUCUCUGUGUAACAGCUCUGAAUGUUCUGGAACUCACUUUAUAGAGUAGACUGGCCUUGAACUCGCAAAGAUUCACCUGCCUCUGCCUCCUGAGUGCUGUGAUUAAAGGCAUACGGCCCACCACUGGCUGGGCAUUUUUGUUUUUAAUCUCUGCUGUUCUGAACUGUGUUUGAAAUGUUGACUAUUUUGGUAUAGGUCUUGUGUUCGCUUGUGUUAGGCCUUUUCUUCUUUCCUUUUCAAAUGUAAAACUAAGGAGAUGGCAAGGUGGCUCCGUGGUGAUGGCACUUGUCCUGAGGACUGACAGCCUACCCGAGGUCCCACAUGGUGAGAGAGAACUGAGAGUUCGUUGUCUUCCACUGCCACAUGAUCAAUAAAUAUAUAAAAAUAGGAAACUACUCAUCAGCAGCCAUUCACCAUUAUUUACAGUAAAGUUAACUACACUAUCACAUAACAUUCUAGUAUUAUAAAGUUACUGUUCUGAACUAUUAACCCAGACACUGAAAGAUGAAGUCUACAUGUAAUGAAUGAGUUGAUAAAGAAAAAGCAAGCGGAUCAGUUAUUUAUUUGUUUAUUUUUCAGAUCAGUUACUUAUAUUUAUAUUGUAAAAUGUUUAGCCGUUUAUGUCUGCAGGCUCUAACUUGCUAACACCUCCAACCCCACGUGAUUGCAUUUAUAUAAGCAGUCUUAGAUAUUUCUUGAAUCAUAGCCUUUUAAUACACAAAUUUCAACUUUGUAUAAAGGAAUGUUUCACUUACAAGUCCAUUUAAAUCUCGCUUAGCUAAAUACAACAGCCUGAAUGAGGAUUUGUCUUGCUUUCUUGUCUGGUGGCAAGUUAGUAAUGAUAACACUUUGCAAAUAAAUUACUGUAUUUAUGUGAUGAUAGAAAAAUGAAUUCUGGUGUGGCUGCUUUUAAACUGUUUCACCCAAACUGUAAGAAUCAUAUAUUUAAUAUCAAAUGUUAUGGCUUUAGAGAAAAAGUUAAGCUUAUCAUAAAUGAUUUUGAUACAGAGGAAAUCGGGUUUCCAUUUUGACACUCUUAAAUCUCAUAAAAUAAUUUAAGAAUGGACUCAUGGGAGCUCCAAGAAAACUUUAUUAGAGUUUAAAAGGAAAACUCCUUGGGAAGGCAAGCUGUGAAGGAGGAGAGAAGAAGACCAUGCCAUUUAACUGACAUGGGGUCAGACAUGUGGGAGAGAGACAAGCGGGCACAUAGUAGGGAGCGGGAUUUAGAGAAGUGAGAAAGCCCAGAGUCCUGGGGAAAACCUGUGCUAGGGGAAGCAUGCUUACAAAGGAGAAAGAAGGGAGAAGUCAGGCUGUUCCUCAGUGAUUCAGGAAAGUGGGUGGACUUUGGAAGCUGCUGCAGUAGGGAUGGGAUUCUAGGGAGGAAAAGUACAGCUUCCACCUAGCUCUGCAGCAUGGCUUAAGGUGAGCCUGCUAGGGUGGUCCCCUGGCCCAGGCUCUACUGGAAUGUUAGGUCUCCACAGAUGCAAGUGAUUUCAUUCUCUGGGCCAGAGGAAUCUCCCUUAAUGGGCCUUUCUUAUGAAAGUUUCUUAGGUUUCUCAGAAUGAUGCAUUCUCAUAGAUGUGGACUAUGAACCAUGGUUUUUGUUUUGGUGAAGUAUCAUUUCUUUAAAGAUUAUUUUAAAUUUUAAUUGGACAAAGGUAGGGUGUGUGUGUGUGUGUGUCUGUACGUACAUGGGAGUGGGGGUGCUGUUGGAGGCCAGAGACAUCAGAUCCCCUUGGAGCUGGAGUUACAGGCAGUUGUAAGCCACUUGAUAAGGGUGCUGGGAAUUGAACUUGGUCCUCAACAAAAACAGUAUGUUUUCUUAACCCUUGAGACUUAAUUGCUGAGCCAUCUCUCCAGCUGUUUUGGAACCUGCUGUGUAGAUGCACCAUGCUGGUCUCCAGCUCACAGAGACUCAUCUGCUUUUCCUUCCCUGGGACUGGGGUUAAAGGCAUGUGCCACUGUUAGGCUGGUGAAUACUUUUAAAAUAUUUACUUACAUAAGUAUCUAGACAAACAAAAACUACCAGAGUGGUCCUUCUGCAUACCAGUUAAAAAUAAGUUCUGCCCGGGCGGUGGUGCCUUUAAUCCCAGCACUCGGGAGGCAGAGCCAGGCGGAUCUCUGUGAGUUCAAGUCCAGCCUGGUCUACAAAGUGAGAUCCAGUACAGGCUCCAAAGCCACACAAAGAAACCCUGUCUCGAAAAAAAACAAAAAACAAACAAACAAAAAUAAGUUCUGAUUGAGUAAUGACUAGGGGGUUCCCCAACAUUUAGAAAAUGCUGUUCUUCAAUACAAGGGGGAAUACACUAUGGUAUCAAAUAUUUGAUUUUGUCAAAGGGAGCAACUCCAGAAAGCUUUCAUUUCAUUUACUCUCUUAACUGGUGCUUUUGAUGCAAAACAAAAACAAAGAAAAAUAAAUCUCAACAGCUGUCAGUACUUCCAGAUCCCACAUGCCACACUUGAUAGGUAGAGUGUAGUUCACUGUAGUUACUAUUUUACAACCCAGAUUAGACACGAGCGCAGACACACACACACACACACACACACACACACACACACACACACACGUGUCAGAAAACAGUGCCAGCAGUUAGUGAGCUGAUCUUCUGGACAAGAGUGCCUAGUUAGUCUUGUUACAGUUUGAGGGUAUUCGUCUCUGCCUCCUGCUGGCACCCACCACCCCUCUGAAUGCUUCCAUUUCAUCCACUCCUGUCUGUGGAGACUUUCGCUGAAGCUUCUUGAUUUGUCAGCAGCAUUGCCAUUGAAUGAAAAAGGGAAAUAGAAAAGGAAGGACACGACUGCUCCUAGGUAUGGUGGAGGAGAUUGUUUAUUGUAGAUAUGGGGGAGGGCACAGCAGAGGCAGAGACAUCAGGGAGAGUCCAGAGUGGACAUGACCCUGAGCCUGGCCAUGUGAGGAAAAGGGGAGGAGGGCAAAGGGGAAAGCUAGGAGACCAAGAGGUCAGGAGGAUGGACACAAAGGGCCUGAUAGCCAAAAUGGCUGGAUUAUAUAGGGAGGGCAGUCCAGCCCUUGGGCUGGAGAACUUUAGGAUAGGGGGUGAGGUAUACCAGCUAUACCCUGUAACAGGUAGGGACUGAGGGAUGCUGGGAGAACUUGGUGGCCAGGUCUGCUUUGAUAUGUUAAAUAGGUUCCUCUGUUGUCCUAGGUUUGAGACCUAACAGCUGCAUCAGUUUCAGUAUCCUAUAAAAAUGUUUCUGUGUUACUUUCCUUUACCCUUUUCUUUACUUUCCUUUUUUUUUUUUUUGAGAAUUAAGAAAUGGUUGGUUAACUUCCACAAUCUUGUUUUCUUUGGCUUCCGAAUACUGUCAAUAGUAGAUCCUGCCCCUUCCAAGGAAGUCCCUGGCCCUCCCUUUCACCAGUGUUGACCCAGUGUACAUGCUCUGGAGGCUUUUCCUCUUCAACUGUUCAUCUUUCAUUCUGUCUCUUUCCCAUGUUUUGCAUUGCGGUUACUAGCAGCCAUAUCUUUUUUUAAAAAAUAUUUUUAUUUUAUAAUUAAUUUAAUUUUACAUGUCAGCCACAGAUUCCCCUGCCCUCCCUCCUCCCACCCCCUAGAAGCCGUAUCUUAACCAAUGGACUUGAAGUGUUCACUGCUAAACUUGCUUUGGGCCAUGGCUCCAGCAGUGUUUCUCUAUUAAGUUGAAAAGGUUUUUAAUUAAAAUUCUUUUAAUACUUGAUUUGGGAAUUCUUUUUUAUUUUUUUCAAUUUUUUAUUUAUUUAUUUAUUUAUUUAUUUAUUUAUUUAUUUAUUUAUUUAUUUUAAUGAACUUCAGAGGUGUGUGCUGUCCUCCUUUUGAAAUGAAAAAGCCUGGCUUCCACUAUUCUGGAGUCAGGUUGUGGACAUGAAAUCUGCCGUUCAGUAUUAGGUAUGUCCGAUAGUCAGUUUUUAGCAUGGAGGCCAACAAAUCCCCAGUAUGCUUGUGUCCACAGUCUUUCAUAGAAUUUGUCUAGCGAAAACUUUCCUUCAGACUUUGCUCAGGGCCUAUUGAGGGGGUAGGCUGGUGGCUCUUGAGGGACGGUGCUGGGUUGUGACUCUAGCUGCGUCCAUUCUCAGUUUAUCUUGCUGUGUGUGGGGGGUCCUGUGGUGGGAAUCAGUGUCACCCAUUUGGCUCCUCCCAUUCUGCAGGAGCUCUCUUAUGGCUAACUACAGUCAGCUGCUGCUGGCAUGUUUAUGCUUGCUUGCUUUGUUUUUCAUACAAGGACUCACUGUAUUGUCCAAGCUGGUCUUGAACACCUGGCCUCAGGUGACUUUCCUGCCUUAGCCUCCUGAGAGGCUGUAACUAUAGGCCCUGGCUUGGCAUGUUUAGUUUUUUCUUCUUCCAAAGUUUGCUAUUAAAGAACAGAGUUUGUAGGGGCUCUUCAGUGUUUCUCAUUCCCUUGUUUCUUGUGGACUGAUCUUUUUACUCUGUGCUGUCCUUCCAGUGGGGUAUUGAAGAUCUAAUGAAUACACUGCUGUUCGUUUUGUUCAUCACUGUUACUGCUGUGUAUCAGUUCAUUACUUGAGUAUUGUUUUUUAGAUGUUGCCCUGAGUAUUAUAAGGAUCUUGUGAUUGUGGCUUUCUACGAAAAAACAAACAAACAAAAUAACUAUUGUGCCUUACAUUUACACACACACACACACACACACACACACACACACAGAAGGAGGCUGAUUUUGCACUCUGGAUGGGUGAACAGUCUAAGUACAUAGGUGUCUUGGAACCUACAGUUUGUAGAAUCUUAACCUACUAAAGGCAUCUUAUAUCUGUUUCAGAUUUUAAAUGUGUUUUUGUUUUUGUUUUUUUUUGGGGGGGGCAGGGUUUCUCUGUGUAACAGUCCUAGGUGUCCUGGAACUCAUUUUGUAGACCAGGCCAGCCCCGAACUCGCCUGCCUCUGCCUCCCAAGUCCUGGGAUUAAAGGCAUGUGCUACCACUGCCCGGCUAAAUGUGUAAUUUUUAUAAUGUGAUAUAUGUGAUUUAUUUUAAGUAAAUAACUAGGAUUAGGAUAUACCUAAUGUCAAAUUAACUUUAUUACUUUCUGACAGUAGUAUUAACAACCACAUACAUUUCCGUAGCCUGCUAAAAUAUUUUAAACAGCUUCUCCCUCAGUAGGGAAAAAAAACUAUUAAUAAAUCAACCAGAGGAGCUUUCUUACUCAUCUAGCACAGAUUGGUACUUGAAUUGAACAAAUGACUAUUUGAAAGAUUGAGGCAUAGUUAAGAGCAUACUGGCAGACAUACAUACUCAGUGAGUCAUACCAUCUGGUUACAGUCAUACCUGGGUGGUGGUCAUUAAAACAAAACUCCUGGGGAUCUGUAUAUGACUUAAUUAUACUGCAGAAACAUAUUGGGCUCCACUGGCAGGUUACUUUGGAAAUUAAAGCCAAUUCACUGGCAUACGUGCUUUCAAAACAUCAAUGUUGCACUUACUAAAUGAGUCAAAAAUUGUUGGCCCAAAUUUGGAGACUGAAAAUACGUAUUUUUAGAGUUCAGGGUGGGCAUUGCUUUAGUAUUGGCUUUGAAGAAAAUGAUGUGACUUUUUUUCCCCCCAAUGCUUUCAUCAGAUAGUGUGACUCAUAUCAUUAUAAUGAGCUAUUUUGUAAGCACUGUAUUCAUGUGAUAAGUAGACUAGCAUGAGGAGAAGUGGCAUCAGCUUCCAGGAGUAGUACAUGCUAAGAAUAUGUCAGUUUUGACCCGUUAAGGAUUCUGGCUUUUUUUUUCUUUUUCUUUUUUUCUCCUUUAUUUCUUUGUUUUUGUUGUUUGUUGUUUGUUUUUCAAGACGGGAUUUUACUGUGUAACAGACCUGGCUGGCCUUGAACUCACAGAGAUCCUCCUGCCUCUGCCUCCCAAGUGCUGGAAUCAAAGAUGUUCACCACUGCCCUGACCAGGAUUCUGUUUUUGUUUUUAAGAGAUUACAUUUGGUAGGUAGAGACACAAUCUGCUAGCUGGACAUGGUGCUGCACACCUGUCAUCCCAGCACUUAGGAAAUGGAGGCAGAAGGAGGAUCAGGAGCUUAAGGACAGCAUGCUACAGACCGAGUUGUAGGUGGAGUUGGGCACUGUGUGACCCUGUCUCAGGGAAAACAAGCUCACAACAGUGUAAAUUUCUUCAUAGAGUUCUAAGACACCCCCUCCCCCCCAACACUCUGUGUGUGUGUGUGUUUCCUUGUAACUACCACUACAAUCAGAACAUGGAGGUGUUCCAUCAGCCUGUAAAACUCUUAGGCUUUUUCUCUCUCCCUGACUAGGAUCUGACUUUGGUUCUGAGAACAGCUUUCCGGUUGCUCACUUUUACUCACCAUACCUGUAAGGUUAAGUCAGACUUGCCUGCAGUAGCUUGUCCUUUUCACUCUUUAUUUCACCCUGUUACAUGACUUUUUUUAAAAGCCAUUCCUUGUGUGAGAGGCAAUUAGAUUGUUUCUAAUUUCUGUUGUGUAUGACUAGAGAAGGUGUAAACAGAAGUAGGCAAGUUUGAGUGCAAAUGUAGAUUUAUAUCUCACUUGUGACCUUUACUACAAGGUCAUGUAGUGUGUGUGUGUGUGUGUGUGUGUGUGUGUGUGUGUGUGUGUGUGUGUGUGUGUGUGUUAUCUUUAACAGGCUUGUCCUGGUGUUCUCUUACACUGGUUUUGGAAGCUGCAAAUUCCAUACUUACUAGUCACUGUUGAAACUGUUAUUCAUACUAACAUUCUGUGAUUAAUCAGUAUUUUUAAUUUGAUAAUAUAUAGUUGGAAAUAUGAAAUGCUUUCUCAGGUAUUAUUAUUGCUAAAACCUUUAAAUGUGUCCCCCUUUACUCUUACAGAUUGACAUUGUAUGUUUAAAUUUGCCUGUUUGCUGGGGUCUGUCUGUGUUUAUUCCUUUGCAUCUCAAAAAUUUUGUGUAGCUUUUUUCUUUUUUUGGUUUUUCCAGACAUGGUUUUUCUGUGUAGCCCUGGCUGCUGUGGAAUUCGCUUUGUAGACCAGGUUGGCCUUGAACUCACAGAGAUUUGCCUGUCUCUGGCUCCCGAGUGCUGGGAUUAAAAGGGUGCACCACCACCACACAGCCUGUAGUUUUGUUUUUUAAAGUGUGUAUGAUGUAAGUUUCUUUACUAAAAAGUCUCCUGGGUAAAAACUUUUUUAAAUCUGAAACUACUGCCAUUUUUAUCUUGUUCUUCAGUAAUGGCUUUUCUGGAUCACAGCAGCUAUUUCCUUUACCACGUGAAGAUAAUGUUCUCAUCCCGAUGAAAAGUGCUUAUAAUUUCAUUUAAAGUCUUUGAAAUUUUGACAGAGUGUUUCUAACUGUAGAUUUUAUUUUUCACAGUUUUGUUAAGCUCAUUUAUUGGAUCUGAAAACCUCAGCCAUUGUCUCUUCAGAUGUAUCUUCUUCAUUCCUUUAGCUCUCUAGCUGUGGAACUGGUUUUCGAUGUCUCUGAGGCUUCCUAAUCAUAGCCUCCUUUUUUGUCUUUGUCUUACCUUCUGGUUUAUUUAUCCUUUUUUGCCUUUCUGUCUUCUGGUUCAUUAAUUUUCUGCUCAGGUAUGUUUAUUUUGUUUUUUGUUCUUUUUUAAGAUGGGCUCUCCUUAUGUAGUCCUGGCUGUCCUGGAACUUGCUGUGUAGACCAGGCAGGUCUCCACCUGCCUCUGCCUCUUAAGUGCUGGGAUCAAAGGUGUGCGCCACCACACCCAGGCCUUUGUUCAGAUAUGUUUAAUCUGCUUUUUUAACUGGUUUGCUGAAAAUUUAACUUUCACAUUUAUAAGUUUUCAUUUCAAGAAAUUGGGAUUUGAAAAGUGUCCCAUCUCCCUUCUCACCUCUUCCCCGUCCUGGAGAAAUGGCUCAGCAAUUAUGUGACUGUACUAUUCUUGCAGAGGGCCUGAGUUUGGUUUCCAGCACCUCACGCUGGCCUGGACUCCAGUUCUAGGGAUUCCUGUACCCUAUUCUGGCCUCCUGGCACCUUUACUGGCAUCUACAUACCUCCCAAUCCACACACAUUAUUACAAAUGAACAACAAAACCAAAAGAAUAUCUUGUCUGUCAUACUGUUAGCAUCAAAAGAAGAUAGUAAAUAUACUAAGUGCCUGUGUAGGUGCUUUGUAAGUAUUUUCUUUUACAUUAAUAACUUACAUUUUUCUGGCCAGUUGCUUUGCAUAAUAUAGUUCAUUCUUGGUUAUUUGUUGCUGAUACUGUUUUUUAUUCUUUAAAAUUUUUAAUAUUUAUUUUGUGUAU